rnacentral:rRNA from 1 species
GUGGGGAAUCUUGGACAAUGGGCGCAAGCCUGAUCCAGCCAUGCCGCGUGAGUGACGAAGGUCUUCGGAUUGUAAAGCUCUUUUGCCAGGGACGAUAAUGACGGUACCUGGAGAAUAAGCCCCGGCUAACUUCGUGCCAGCAGCCGCGGUAAUACGAAGGGGGCUAGCGUUGUUCGGAAUUACUGGGCGUAAAGCGCACGUAGGCGGAUUUGUAAGUCAGGGGUGAAAUCCCGGGGCUCAACCUCGGAACUGCCUUUGAUACUGCGAAUCUCGAGUCCGGAAGAGGUGAGUGGAAUUCCUAGUGUAGAGGUGAAAUUCGUAGAUAUUAGGAAGAACACCAGUGGCGAAGGCGGCUCACUGGUCCGGUACUGACGCUGAGGUGCGAAAGCGUGGGGAGCAAACAGGAUUAGAAACCCCAGUAGUCC